GCUCCCUGCCCCCUUGCUUGCUCUGUUUGCUUACCAAAUGCAGCUAACAUUGUUGUUCUGUCCUUUGGAAACUGUGCAGCCCUCACCUUUCAUCUUUGUUCCAUCUUCUCCCUCAUACUGCUUGCCCUAACAAACACAGUCAGAACCAUCUGACAAGGUCCUCUGCUCCUUGUAGGUGUUCAGCUUGCUAAGGGAGCUGGGCUCUUCUCAGAAGAGAAGUACAGUUCUGUACCUGCUCUCACUAGGCACUUUUCUGUGCUGAUGAAUUUGGCUUCGGUGCCUGGUUCUUUUCCUCCCCUAGGAACACUUUGUUUUUAUUCGCAACUGGAAAUGUGCAGUGGUGCUCCCUUGUAGCUACUUGCAGCACUUGGCUCUCUGGGAACAGAAAUCUAGAGGGGACCCAGAAAGAAUGGUGGCAGAGCUGAAAAAGUUCAGGAUGCUUUUACAGCAUGUGAAAGGGACAAACCAUCUGGAUUUCAUUUUCGCCUCCCUCCUGCCUAGUCAGCUGCUGAACUAUGGAGAGACCAUGACACUUGUCAGGCUGGGG
rnacentral:lncRNA from 1 species